AUAUUAAAGUGAGCCUCCCAAAGGAAAACGUGGAUCUACUUACCAACGCAGAAAAUGAUACACACGGAUUCGAUUUAGGCACGCUACAUUCAAAUGACUUGGAAGAGCAGUUUCUCUGAGCCAGGAUACUAAAGUCCGUGUUUAGGAAAGAGCCACAUUGUAUGUUUACCCUACCACAAAGAUACAGUCAUGUGCCUGGGAAAGAUUGAUGCCAGCUCCAGAAAGGCAUCUGAAUGGUCUAAGUAAUGCCAUCCAUCUGUCAGUAAUAGAUUCAGAAAUGGUGCUGGCAGAGGAAACAGCAGCAAUGAUGCUCUGCGAGCCUGACUCAGGGCCAGCAGUGAUGGCAGCCCAAGAAUUCUGGAGGAAAGUGGCUCUGGGAAUUGAACAGUGGCUCAGUGAUGUUGGGGCCACCAAGUCUGCAAUUCUCCCGACCUGUUCUUCACGGUUGUAAGAUGACUGCUGCAAUUCUCGGCAUCAUGUGCAUGUUAAUGUCAGGAGGAAGAGAGGAAGAGGGAGCACUGGGAUGUUACACUCAUUUUGUCAGGAAAAGCAAAGCCUUUCCAGACAGCCCCGAAACUUGCUUACCUCUCAUUGGCCAGCACCAUCACUUGACCACUUGUCCACUCCUAGCUGCAAGGAAAGUGGCAAAGUAGAAGGUAUUUGAGAAUGUCUGCUGGGUUAGCCAAAACAAUAGUGACUUCUACACCCAAUUUUCUGGGCACUGCAUAAGUAUCCUUGAUUCCUAUGUGAUCAGAGGGAGAGCAAACCUCAAUAAUGAAACAGAUUCAAUUUCCAUCACCCAGUGAGAUACCAUGGGAUUAGAAUAAAUUUUUAAAAAAACAAAUUGAAAAAAAUGCACUUUCAAAACAACAAAAUCAGAAAGGAUGAAAGGUGAUAUUUCUAGCAUAUCAGUUUGUGGUGGUAAAUUAAUUACCUUAUACAAAGGCCUCAGUGACUUUCUUCUCCUUACCUAACGAAUCAUCUUUAAAAUAAGUAAAAUAAAGAAACAAGAGCAGCAGCAGAUGCUUCCUAACAAGAAGUUACCAAAUCUGUUCACCACAAACCUGAGAAUUCAACUGUGGACAUUUGGACACCAGCAAUGAACAUGAAACUCAGCUUAUGAGGCAUAUUUGGCUAAAGGUCAAGGUGACUUAAAGUUCAUCAUAGGACAUCUACAAUUUGCAAAGCAGGUGACUGGAUAUGGACUCCUUCCAAGUCUCAUUUAAUUGGAUAAUGCCUACGUUUUAAGUAUCAGAAGUGAGUCUUUCUCUAUUAAAUGAAGUCAGUUCCACUAAAAUCUAAAUCUUGUUUGGCAGGCACUCCAUGUUUCUUAAUUUUUAUUCCAUGCUGUAUAUUCUUUUAGACUUGAUUUUCACUUUUUUUUCUUUUUUCCUGUAAGUUUAUCUUUGCUGUGAAACAAAGUGCCCUGCUUUGAAGGACAGGUUUGUGGGCUGCUGGUGGUGAGACAACAGCAGUCCUUCCAGGUCUUCCUCCCAUCACUGUGUUAGCUCUCCCUUUGUUUUUAAUUAGCAUUACACCAGUUAAUUCUGUUGUCUCUUAACCCUGGUUCUGCAUCCUCUUCUUUUCUAUUCCUUACUCUGCUCCUGUUUUUUCUUGUUCUGCUUUUCCAAGAAAUGUCUUCUCUCCUCAUCAGUUGACUGUCUUCUCUUUCCAGAGGGACCAUAAAGGUGCCAGCCUAAGGAACACGUAAAACGUGGGAACAGACAAACAAGCUGCUGCCUAUUACAGAGAUAGAUAAUUAACUUUGGACCAUUACAUGCAAUUCAUCAGCUUAUCUUUUUCAAACUUUAUGUAAGAAGUCAUUUCCCAAUGGUAACCACUUGCCAGCUGCAACUUUGACGCAUAUUAUCAGGAUAGGUGAGAUUGAUGGGGGCCCUUUGAACUCUUCCCAGGGAAUAAUCUUUAUAAUGUUACAGUUUUCUCUAUAGCAUGGUCAUAUUGUUAACAUUGGUUAUAAGGUC
rnacentral:lncRNA from 1 species